rnacentral:rRNA from 2 species
UACGUAGGGUGCGAGCGUUAAUCGGAAUUACUGGGCGUAAAGCGUGCGCAGGCGGUUCGUUGUGUCGGUGGUGAAAGCCCCGGGCUCAACCUGGGAAUGGCCAUGGAAACUGGCGAACUGGAGUGUGGCAGAGGGGGGUGGAAUUCCGCGUGUAGCAGUGAAAUGCGUAGAGAUGCGGAGGAACACCGAUGGCGAAGGCAGCCCCCUGGGCUAGCACUGACGCUCAGGCACGAAAGCGUGGGGAGCAAACAGG